UAGUGAUUAACGCGAAGAACCUUACCUGGGUUUGACAUGCACAGGACGCGUCUAGAGAUAGGCGUUCCCUUGUGGUCUGUGUGCAGGUGGUGCAUGGCUGUCGUCAGCUCGUGUCGUGAGAUGUUGGGUUAAGUCCCGCAACGAGCGCAACCCUUAUCCCUAGUUGCCAUCGGGUCAAGCCGGGCACUCUAGUGAAACUGCCUCGGAUAACGAGGAGGAAGGUGGGGAUGACGUCAAGUCCUCAUGGCCUUUAUGUCCAGGGCUACACACGUGCUACAGUGGUCGGUACAAACCGUCGCAAACCCGUGAGGGGGAGCUAAUCGGAAAAAGCCGGCCUCAGUUCGGAUUGGAGUCUGCAACUCGACUCCAUGAGGCUGGAAUCGCUAGUAAUCGCGGAUCAAAACGCCGCGGUGAAUACGUUCCCGGGCCUUGUCACACCCGAAUCGAAUU
rnacentral:rRNA from 1 species